AUGGACCUGGGAGAAAGAGUUUGUGCUGAAGAGCUAGACCAUGUUUGGGAGAAGCAAUUUCCUAUGCUCCUAGGAAUUAUGAUGCAGCUACACAGGAAACCUAAGACUAGGUCAGAAAGGGAUACUUGGAAGAAUCACAGGACUCCAGCCGGGUAUUGGCCUGACGUUGAUCAGGCCCAGGUUGCGGUCACCAAUUCAAGGGCUGGGGUGUACGUCAGGGUUGACCCACGCCGGCUGUGUCCUCCUCUCCCCCGCCCCCAGCACUUCACGGAGCAUGUUAAACAUGAGUGUCACUUUGUGAACGGGACGGAGCCCGUGUGGUACGUGCAGAGAUUCAUCUACAACCGACAGGAGUUUGUGCGCUUCGGCAGAGACGUGAUGAAGUUUGUGGCGGUGACGGAGGUGGGGCGACCCGAUGCUGAAGAUUGGAGCAGCCGGAGGGAUGCCCUGAGAGCUAUCGGGCUACAUGGACGCUUACUGCAGACGCCAACUACGAGCUGAGCCCGAGGCGAUUGUGUAUCCAUCAAAGAUGGCCCCUCUGGGACACCACAACCUGCCUGCUCUGCCAGUGGUUUCUAUCCCGGUAACACUGAGGUCCGGUGGUUUCUGAAUGGACAGGAGGAGACAGCUGGUGUUGUGUCCACAAGCCUGAUCAGCAAUGGAGACUGAACCUACCAGAUCCUGGCGAUGCUAGAAAUGACUUCAGGGGAAUGUCUACACCUGCCAAGUGGAGCACUCCAGCCUUCAGAGAACUGUUGACUGGAAAGCACAGUCUGAAUCUGCCCAGAGAAGGAUGCUGAGUGGAGUUGGGGGCCUCCUGCCGGGGCUAAUCUUCUUUAGGGUUGGCUUCAUUGUCUGUAAGAGGAGUCAGAAAGGAAAUCGUGGUUCACAACCAGCAGGGUACCUGAGCUGA